UCGCGCAUGACAGGUGUUCGACUCGUGCUUCUGCUCCUUUCCCCCCGGGUUUGGGGACAGAAGCGCGGUCGUUCUGAGAUUAUACUGUCAAAACUUGAUCUAGAUAAUACUAGCGAAAGGACAUGCGUGGCACUGAUU
rnacentral:ncRNA from 22 species